CGGGUCAACAAAGAGAGGCAAAGCCGCGAGGCAGAGCGAAUCUCAAAAAGCCGUCCCAGUUCGGAUUGCAGGCUGCAACCCGCCUGCAUGAAGUUGGAAUCGCUAGUAAUCGCGGAUCAGCAUGCCGCGGUGAAUACGUUCCCGGGCCUUGUACACACCGCCCGUCACACCAUGAGAAUCGGGAACACCCGAAGUCCGUAGCCUAACCGCAAGGGGGGCGCGGCCGAAGGUGGGUUCGAUAAUUGGGGUGAAGUCGUAACAAGGUAUC
rnacentral:rRNA from 1 species